GAUGAACGCUAGCGGCAGGCCUAAUACAUGCAAGUCGAACGAUAGUGAGAAGCUUGCUUCUCACGAAAGUGGCGCACGGGUGCGUAACGCGUAUGCAACCUACCUUAAUCAGGGGGAUAGCCCGAAGAAAUUCGGAUUAACACCGCAUAAAAUCACAGUAUAGCAUUAUACAAUGAUCAAAUAUUUAUAGGAUUAAGAUGGGCAUGCGUGACAUUAGUUAGUUGGCGGGGUAACGGCCCACCAAGACCACGAUGUCUAGGGGAUCUGAGAGGAUGACCCCCCACACUGGUACUGAGACACGGACCAGACUCCUACGGGAGGCAGCAGUAAGGAAUAUUGGUCAAUGGAGGCAACUCUGAACCAGCCAUGCCGCGUGCAGGAAGACAGCCCUCUGGGUCGUAAACUGCUUUUAUUCGGGAAUAAACCUAUCUACGUGUAGAUA
rnacentral:rRNA from 1 species